GGCCAAACGCGGCUGUGCCCUCCCUACGUGUCCGCCCAUGUCCAAAGCAAAUCGGGUCUGUGAACAGUGCAAGACACCGAGCCUCCGCGGCCCUCCGGGGAAUCCUAGCACUUGUAGGACUCGGAGGAAUGCUCAGGAGUUACAUGAAGGAAAAGCAGGACACUCAGAGUUUGGUGGCUGGAGUUUGGGCAGCAGCUGUUUGUCUAUGUGAAGGCAGGACAGACGUCCACACGGCACCAGGAGCUGUGUGGGUCUUAAGAGGUGGAGGACCCUGGUAGGCUGCAGCAGAAGCCUGUGCUACGCCUGGUGGAGCAGAGCAGCGCCCACCUGCUGAAUCCUCCUUUCCAUGCACAGCUCAGGCUGAAGGCUGAGCCUUGGUCACAGAAGCUGCAGAAACCAGAAAGGUGAAGAUCCUGACUCUCAAGGUCCCAGAAGCACCGGGAGCCCCAAACAGUGCCUGAUCACGUCUUUUGCCGUGACUACGAUGAGAUUAGUACAGAUUCAGAACUGAAGGGAAUGAUAAGUAAGGUAUCCCCGCCGCUUGGCUACAGACCAAGGGGUUCACUUAGGUUUUAACUUUUGAAAAAAUUGUGUUAAAAACAUAUAAUCCAAAACCUAGGCUAUGCUCACUUGUCUAGUUCUA
rnacentral:lncRNA from 1 species